rnacentral:rRNA from 1 species
UACAGAGGGUGCAAGCGUUGUUCGGAUUUACUGGGCGUAAAGGGUGCGUAGGCGGUUGGGUAAGUCUGACGUGAAAUCUCCGAGCCUAACUCGGAAACUGCGUUGGAUACUAUCCGGCUAGAGGAAUGGAGGGGAGACUGGAAUACUUGGUGUAGCAGUGAAAUGCGUAGAUAUCAAGUGGAACACCAGUGGCGAAGGCGAGUCUCUGGACAUUUCCUGACGCUGAGGCACGAAAGCCAGGGGAGCAAACGGG